UGGGGAAUUUUGGACAAUGGGCGCAAGCCUGAUCCAGCCAUGCCGCGUGCGGGAAGAAGGCCUUCGGGUUGUAAACCGCUUUUGUCAGGGAAGAAAUCUUCUGAGUUAAUACCUCGGGAGGAUGACGGUACCUGAAGAAUAAGCACCGGCUAACUACGUGCCAGCAGCCGCGGUAAUACGUAGGGUGCAAGCGUUAAUCGGAAUUACCGGGCGUAAAGCGUGCGCAGGCGGUUUUGUAAGACAGAGGUGAAAUCCCCGGGCUCAACCUGGGAACUGCCUUUGUGACUGCAAGGCUUGAGUGCGGCAGAGGGGGAUGGAAUUCCGCGUGUAGCAGUGAAAUGCGUAGAUAUGCGGAGGAACACCGAUGGCGAAGGCAAUCCCCUGGGCCUGCACUGACGCUCAUGCACGAAAGCGUGGGGAGCAAACAGGAUUAGAUACCCUGGUAGUCCACGCCCUAAACGAUGUCAACUGGUUGUUGGGAAGGUUCCUUCUCAGUAACGUAGCUAACGCGUGAAGUUGACCGCCUGGGGAGUACGGCCGCAAGGUUG
rnacentral:rRNA from 1 species